UCCAUUACAUGAACCCCAUGUUCAUUACUCGUUCUUAGUGUCGAAGCCAUACCAAUCGUUGUAUGCUAAGACCGAUCGUUCAUCGCAACAACGUUGCGUUCAUAGCGUCUAUACGCUUUACACUUAUCUCUCAUUACCACAACAUAGCAUCGAAAUGUUAUUCAUUACCUUCGUCACUCAACAUUUAAGGAAUCACAAUCAUA
rnacentral:lncRNA from 1 species